rnacentral:rRNA from 1 species
AACGAACGCUGGCGGCAGGCUUAACACAUGCAAGUCGAGCGCACCGCGAGGUGAGCGGCAGACGGGUGAGUAACGCGUGGGAAUCUACCCAACCCUACGGAAUAACCCAGGGAAACUUGGACUAAUACCGUAUACGCCCUCUUGGGGAAAGUUUUAUCGGGGAUGGAUGAGCCCGCGUUGGAUUAGCUCGUUGGUGGGGUAAAGGCCUACCAAGGCGACGAUCCAUAGCUGGUCUGAGAGGAUGAUCAGCCACAUUGGGACUGAGACACGGCCCAAACUCCUACGGGAGGCAGCAGUGGGGAAUAUUGGACAAUGGGCGCAAGCCUGAUCCAGCCAUGCCGCGUGAGUGAUGAAGGCCUUAGGGUUGUAAAGCUCUUUCAGUAGGGAAGAUAAUGACGGUACCUACAGAAGAAGCCCCGGCUAACUUCGUG